UACGUAGGGUGCAAGCGUUAAUCGGAAUUACUGGGCGUAAAGAGCGCGCAGGCGGUCGUUCAAGUCGAGUGUGAAAGCCCCCGGCUCAACUGGGGAGGGUCACUUGAUACUGAUCGACUGGAAGGCAGGAGAGGGAAGCGGAAUUCCCGGUGUAGUGGUGAAAUGCGUAGAUAUCGGGAGGAACACCAGUGGCGAAGGCGGCUUCCUGGCCUGUUCUUGACGCUGAGGCGCGAAAGCUAGGGGAGCAAACGGG
rnacentral:rRNA from 1 species